rnacentral:lncRNA from 1 species
CUUGAGCUUGUCAUCUUUGCAGCUGAUGGCGGUACUAUUGGUAACAUUAUGAGACCGAUCAUGGGCUUCUUUGUUUCAGUUUGACAUCCCUAUCUCCUGGUGUUUGCAUUUUGGGAGCUUCAAGGUCUGGCAGAAGAACAAAAUCAAAAGCUAUUUUUAGGAGUAAACAUAAGGAUGGGAAAAUAUAAUUAUUUCCUCUUGACAUACCACAACAGCACCCUACAGAAAAUUUCAUCGUGCAUUUUGCAUUUAUUCAGCUAAAACGACCCAGAAACAAAGAAGCAAGGACUUCAACAAAUGAAGUGUGAAGAUCAGGGACAAGCGGCAACCAUGCCACUACUUUAUGCGACAGAUAGGAGUCAAGUUACAUGCUACCAAUUGUAAUUCCUUGUAUAAUGAAUAGUUGAACUUAUUUUUAAGAUGUAGACCUUGUAAGACACACACUGAAUACUCAGGUGUCAGGUAGUCGCAGUAAUUCCUUUCAAGUGUAAUGAAAAUUCAUUGGUGCUCUUCAAAUAAAAAAUAGACGAAAAGGAGAGAGCACAAAUUUACAUAAAAACACAGACGCAAAGAAGCAUGAAGCAGAAAUUCUGAAUUUGAGCGCUACCAUUUCACAGAGCUAAAUUAUGCUUCCAGACAUCCAUUUUAACGAACCCUAAUUCUGAAGACGAAUAUAAUAUAAACUGAAUGAAUAGGCCAAUUCAGUUAAUCCAAGCAAACCAAAGGAGAUUAAGCACUAAAUUAGGCACCUGGCAUAGUAAAUAAAACUAAAGAUGGCAGCCUAAAACAAACAGAACAAAUAAACCAGAUUAAGCACAACCGUCCAAAUGAACCAGAUUAAUCUAAAACCCACUUACUAAAUUGCACAUAGAUAUAAUAAUCAUAAAAUACAUGCAUCACAGAUUGAGCUCACGUUCUACAAGCGACCACAUCUUUUUGACAGCCUACUACCCCAGCUAGACUCCAAUGGCAAUCUUCACAAACCAUUUAUGCAACGCCAUUGGCUUGUUUGAUAGCCUCAACAACACACACCUGCAAGCAGGACAGACAAACAAAAUAGUAGGUCAUUGGUAUGACAAGGCCAAAAAGAAACAACAUAUAAAACAAGCAAGGAAGAAAAGGAGACCACAAAAAUCCAAGCAGGGAAUAGUACUCUUUGCCACUACCAAUAAGAAGGCAAUAAACAGAUUCACUCAUUUACAACCUGCAGACCAACACGAACGACAAGCACAAAUAGACUAAAUCAACUGUAAUAUCCUAAGAAAUGAAAGUUUAACAUUACCAUUCUAUACACAAGCUAUAAAAUUUAUAAUCAUCGUGAGCCCUGCUUUAUUGGCCAUCCAAUAUUUAUGGUACAUAUCAAUUUAUCAACAAUUCCAAACACUACAGAUAUGUGAACAUAGCUAUAAUCCUUGACAUCAUCACAUCAACAUCAGAACUCCAUUAUUCAUGUCAGCAGAAAGUAGAUGUGUGACAAAAGGUCCAUGGGCAAAACUAACUUACAACAAGAGAUAUACAUAAUUAAGCUCCACAGAUAUCUGUAACAUGGAAGUAUUAGAGCAUUUGAAACACAAAGCGUCAGUCUGCACGAACAUGGUAGUAAUAUAAAAGAAGAGAAGGUAAAAUUGCCAAAUACAUUAUAUUGACAGCAUCCACACCAUGUUUCAUGGUAUAAGUAAAAGCUUGUUGUGGUUACCGAGAGGAAGGCAUAAUGGAUCUUCUGUAAAGGCACCAACACAGGUACACAUCACAUAUAGGCUCCUGAAAAAAAAUAAACCAUGCUUAACAGU